CAGCNUCCUGGGAUAACACUGACGCUCAUGCACGAAAGCGUGGGGAGCAANCAGGAUUAGAUACCCUGGUAGUCCACGCCCUAAACGAUGUCUACUAGUUGUCGGGGAUUAAUUUCCUUGGUAACGCAACUAACGCGUGAAGUAGACCGCCUGGGGAGUACGGUCGUAAGAUUAAAACUCAAAGGAAUUGACGGGGACCCGCACAAGCGGUGGAUGAUGUGGAUUAAUUCGAUGCAACGCGAAAAACCUUACCUACGCUUGACAUGUCCGGAACCCUGAAGAGAUUUGGGGGUGCUCGAAAGAGAGCCGGAACACAGGUGCUGCAUGGCUGUCGUCAGCUCGUGUCGUGAGAUGUUGGGUUNNNNNNNNNCNNCGAGCGCAACCCUUAUCAUUAGUUGCUACGCAAGGGCACUCUAAUGAGACUGCCGGUGACAAACCGGAGGAAGGCGGGGAUGACGUCAAGUCCUCAUGGCCCUUAUGUGUAGGGCUUCACACGUCAUACAAUGGUCGGUACAGAGGGUUGCGAAGCCGCGAGGUGGAGCCAAUCCCAAAAAACCGAUCGUAGUCCGGAUUGCAGUCUGCAACU
rnacentral:rRNA from 1 species